ensembl:lncRNA
CUCUUCCCUGAGUAAUUCAAUCAGAGGACAUUCAGCUGCGUAUAACCCAGCUCUGUGGUGUGCUGUAUGAGUCAAUGCUGCUCCUGAAUGUCUCAAAGAUGCAUGCAUAUCUUCUUGCCAUUCCCAGGACACAAGUACCGUGGAGAGGCUUAGUAAUUUAUUUUUUUUCCAGAAAUCUCUUCUAAAUAGUCUGUCCACCUCAAGCAUGCUGCUCCACACUGCACUUAUGCAGUCCUGGGAGAGCAGCAGAGCAAGCGACAUCACUGCCAAGCUCAUCAGUGCUGCCAGCUUGUGCCAAGAACCAUUUCUGAGCUAGCAUGGCCCUGGAGAUGACAAGGGGAGAAACACAGCAGACUGGAGAGAGGCUUCCCUGGUGAGAGGAGAGCUGUGGUAGCCCUGGGGCUGUCAAGCAUGGCUCUGGCCCCAGAUGACAGGCAUUAUAUAGGAGUUGAUGGGCAGCUCAGUCAAGAAGAAAUGAAACACCAUCAAAAAAGGAUAAUAAAUUUG